GACGAACGCUGGCGGCGUGCUUAACACAUGCAAGUCGAACGGAAAGGCCCUGCUUUUGUGGGGUGCUCGAUUGGCGAACGGGUGAGUAACACGUGAGUAACCUGCCCUUGACUUUGGGAUAACUUCAGGAAACUGGGGCUAAUACCGGAUAGGAUCUCCUGCUGCAUGGUGGGGGUUGGAAAGUUUCGGCGGUUGGGGAUGGUCUCGCGGCUUAUCCGCUUGUUUGUGGGGUAGUGGCUUACCAAGGGUUUGACGGGUAGCCUGCCUGAGAGGGUUACCGGCCACAAUGGGACUGAGAUACGGAGCAGACUCCUACGGGAGGCAGCGGGGGGGAAUAUUGCAGAAUGGGCGGAAGCCUGAUGCAGCAACGCCGCGUGCGGGAUGACGGCCUUCGGGUUGUAAACCGCUUUCGAAUGUGACGAAGCGUGAGUGACGGUAAUGGGUAAAGAAGCACCGGCUAACUACGUG
rnacentral:rRNA from 1 species